rnacentral:rRNA from 1 species
UACGUAGGGUGCGAGCGUUAAUCGGAAUUACUGGGCGUAAAGCGUGCGCAGGCGGUUUGGUAAGACAGAUGUGAAAUCCCCGGGCUUAACCUGGGAAUUGCAUUUGUGACUGCCCGGCUAGAGUGUGUCAGAGGGGGGUAGAAUUCCGACGUGUAGCAGUGAAAUGCGUAGAGAUGUGGAGGAAUACCGAUGGCGAAGGCAGCCCCCUGGGAUAACACUGACGCUCAUGCACGAAAGCGUGGGGAGCAAACAGG